CCUACGGGGGGCUGCAGUGGGGAAUAUUGGACAAUGGGGGCAACCCUGAUCCAGCCAUGCCGCGUGUGUGAAGAAGGCCCUCGGGUUGUAAAGCACUUUCAGUGAGGAAGAACGCCUGGUGGUUAAUACCCAUCAGGAAAGACAUCACUCACAGAAGAAGCACCGGCUAACUCCGUGCCAGCAGCCGCGGUAAUACGGAGGGUGCGAGCGUUAAUCGGAAUUACUGGGCGUAAAGCGCGCGUAGGUGGCUUGAUAAGCCGGUUGUGAAAGCCCCGGGCUCAACCUGGGAACGGCAUCCGGAACUGUCAAGCUAGAGUGCGGGAGAGGAAGGUAGAAUUCCCGGUGUAGCGGUGAAAUGCGUAGAGAUCGGGAGGAAUACCAGUGGCGAAGGCGGCCUUCUGGACUGACACUGACACUGAGGUGCGAAAGCGUGGGUAGCAAACAGGAUUAGAUACCCUGGUAGUC
rnacentral:rRNA from 1 species